rnacentral:rRNA from 1 species
GACGAACGCUGGCGGCGUGCUUAACACAUGCAAGUCGAACGGAAAGGCCCUGCUUUUGUGGGGUGCUCGAGUGGCGAACGGGUGAGUAACACGUGAGUAACCUGCCCUUGACUUUGGGAUAACUUCAGGAAACUGGGGCUAAUACCGGAUAGGAGCUCCUGCUGCAUGGUGGGGGUUGGAAAGUUUCGGCGGUUGGGGAUGGACUCGCGGCUUAUCAGCUUGUUGGUGGGGUAGUGGCUUACCAAGGCUUUGACGGGUAGCCGGCCUGGGAGGGUGACCGGCCACAUUGGGCCUGAGAUACGGCCCAGACUCCUACGGGAGGCAGCAGUGGGGAAUAUUGCACAAUGGGCGGAAGCCUGAUGCAGCAACGCCGCGUGCGGGAUGACGGCCUUCGGGUUGUAAACCGCUUUCGCCUGUGACGAAGCGUGAGUGACGGUAAUGGGUAAAGAAGCACCGGCUAACUACGU